GAACGCCCUCUUCGGAGGGAGUGGCGCACGGGUGCGUAACGCGUGGGAAACUGCCCUAGGGUGCGGAAUAAUCCAGAGAAAUUUGGCCUAAUACCGCAUAAUGUCUUCGGACCAAAGAUUUAUCGCCCUUGGAUGUGCCCGCGUAAGAUUAGCUAGUUGGUGGGGUAAAGGCCUACCAAGGCAACGAUCUUUAGCUGGUCUGAGAGGAUGAUCAGCCACACUGGGACUGAGACACGGCCCAGACUCCUACGGGAGGCAGCAGUGGGGAAUAUUGGACAAUGGGCGAAAGCCUGAUCCAGCAAUGCCGCGUGAGUGAUGAAGGCCUUAGGGUUGUAAAGCUCUUUUGCCAGGGAUGAUAAUGACAGUACCUGGAGAAUAAGCUCCGGCUAACUCCGUGCCAGCAGCCGCGGUAAUACGGAGGGAGCUAGCGUUGUUCGGAAUUACUGGGCGUAAAGCGCGCGUAGGCGGCUUUGUAAGUCAGAGGUGAAAUCCCGGGGCUCAACCCCGGAACUGCCUUUGAAACUACAUCGCUAGAGUCUUGGAGAGGUGAGUGGAAUUCCGAGUGUAGAGGUGGAAUUCGUAGAUAUUCGGAAGAACACCAGUGGCGAAGGCGACUCACUGGACAAGUACUGACGCUGAGGUGCGAAAGCGUG
rnacentral:rRNA from 1 species